UUUAAGUGAUUACUGGCAAUGUACCGUUUGCUUGCAGGACCAUUACGAAGAGUACAGUGACGACGAUGAAGACACCAAAGAAGUAUUACCCACAAAGAAGAAAAACAAGGAUAAGAAAAAAGGCAAAGUAGAAAAAGAAUAAGAAAGAGGGCAAAGUGAUUGAACAUCUAGAGAAGCUUGCAGCUAAGAAAAUACCCAAACAGAUCGUCGGCGGAGUUCGUCUGCCUAAAGACCUCGUGGAUUUCGCUACGCUUAUGCUUGACAAACAUGGCAGUGACUUCAAGGCAAUGGCCAGAGAUCCCAUGAACUAUUACCAAGAUUCGUGGAAACAAAUUCGGACGAAGAUCAAGCAUUUUGUGACCACCAACCCGCGUAUUUCGCGCCGUACCUGAAGGAGAGAA